GAACGCACCUUGCGCCCUUUGGCUAUUCCGAAGGGCAUGCCUGUUUGAGUAUCAUGAACACCUCAACUCUCAUGGUCCACCAUGAUGAGCUUGGACUUUGGGGGUCUUUGCUGGCUUACGGUCGGCUCCUCUCAAACGAAUCAGCUUGCCAGUGUUUGGCGGCAUCACAGGUGUGAUAACUAUCUGCGCUUGUGGUUUCCCGCUAGAUAACCUUCAGCGAUGGAGGUUCGCUGGAGCUCAUAAAUGUCUCUCCUCAGCGAGGACAGCACUUUGACUGUUUGAUCUCAAAUCAGGUAGGACUACCCGCUGAACUUAAG
rnacentral:misc_RNA from 1 species